AGUGAACACUGGCGGUAGGCCUAACACAUGCCAGUCGAACGGCAGCACAGUAAGAGCUUGCUCUUACGGGUGGCGAGUGGCGGACGGGUGAGGAAUACAUCGGAAUCUACUUUUUCGUGGGGGAUAACGUAGGGAAACUUACGCUAAUACCGCAUACGACCUACGGGUGAAAGCAGGGGAUCUUCGGACCUUGCGCGAUUGAAUGAGCCGAUGUCGGAUUAGCUAGUUGGCGGGGUAAAGGCCCACCAAGGCGACGAUCCGUAGCUGGUCUGAGAGGAUGAUCAGCCACACUGGAACUGAGACACGGUCCAGACUCCUACGGGAGGCAGCAGUGGGGAAUAUUGGACAAUGGGCGCAAGCCUGAUCCAGCCAUACCGCGUGGGUGAAGAAGGCCUUCGGGUUGUAAAGCCCUUUUGUUGGGAAAGAAAAGCAGCAGGUUAAUACCCCGCUGUUCUGACGGUACCCAAAGAAUAAGCACCGGCUAACUUCGUG
rnacentral:rRNA from 1 species